rnacentral:rRNA from 1 species
UACUUGUACCGACUGGAUGAGCAGCGAACGGGUGAGUAACGCGUGGGGAAUCUGCCUUUGAGCGGGGGACAACAUUUGGAAACGAAUGCUAAUACCGCAUAAAAACUUUAAACACAAGUUUUAAGUUUGAAAGAUGCAAUUGCAUCACUCAAAGAUGAUCCCGCGUUGUAUUAGCUAGUUGGUGAGGUAAAGGCUCACCAAGGCGAUGAUACAUAGCCGACCUGAGAGGGUGAUCGGCCACAUUGGGACUGAGACACGGCCCAAACUCCUACGGGAGGCAGCAGUAGGGAAUCUUCGGCAAUGGACGAAAGUCUGACCGAGCAACGCCGCGUGAGUGAAGAAGGUUUUCGGAUCGUAAAACUCUGUUGGUAGAGAAGAACGUUGGUGAGAGUGGAAAGCUCAUCAAGUGACGGUAACUACCCAGAAAGGGACGGCUAACUACGUGCCAGCAGCCGCGGUAAUACGUAGGUCCCGAGCGUUGUCCGGAUUUAUUGGGCGUAAAGCGAGCGCAGGUGGUUUAUUAAGUCUGGUGUAAAAGGCAGUGGCUCAACCAUUGUAUGCAUUGGAAACUGGUAGACUUGAGUGCAGGAGAGGAGAGUGGAAUUCCAUGUGUAGCGGUGAAAUGCGUAGAUAUAUGGAGGAACACCGGUGGCGAAAGCGGCUCUCUGGCCUGUAACUGACACUGAGGCUCGAAAGCGUGGGGAGCAAACAGGAUUAGAUACCCUGGUAGUCCACGCCGUAAACGAUGAGUGCUAGAUGUAGGGAGCUAUAAGUUCUCUGUAUCGCAGCUAACGCAAUAAGC